AGCGAACGCUGGCGGCAGGCUUAACACAUGCAAGUCGAGCGGGCAUCCUUGUGGUGUCAGCGGCAGACGGGUGAGUAACGCGUGGGAACGUGCCCUUCGGUUCGGAAUAACUCAGGGAAACUUGAGCUAAUGCCGGAUACGUGCGAGAGCAGAAAGGUUUAUCUGCCGAAGGAUCGGCCCGCGUCUGAUUAGUUAGUUGGUGAGGUUAUGGCUCACCAAGGCGACGAUCAGUAGCUGGUCUGAGAGGAUGAUCAGCCACACUGGGACUGAGACACGGCCCAGACUCCUACGGGAAGCAGCAGUGGGGAAUAUUGGACAAUGGGGGCAACCCUGAUCCAGCCAUGCCGCGUGAGUGAUGACGGCCUUAGGGUUGUAAAGCUCUUUUCUUCGGGACGAUAAUGACGGUACCGGAGGAAUAAGCCCCGGCUAACUUUGUG
rnacentral:rRNA from 1 species